CACGCAUAACACAUCCAAAUCGAACGUAGUUUCCCGCUUUAAUGCCGCAGUGUUGUCUUCGUCUUAGUGUUUUGCCUCCUUGCUUCCGAAUAACCUCUGACAUCUACUGUUAUCACCGCUCUGACGACGUCAGUCCAUAGACUUAUCACACCCUACUCGACCCCGCGUACGAUUAGCUACUCGGUGUCGUAAAGGCGCACAAAGGCUACGAUCCUUACCUUGUCUGAGAGGAUGAUCAGCCACAUUGGCACUGCGACACGGCCCAGACUCCUACGGGAGUCAGCAGUGGGGAAUAUUGGACAAUGGGCGAAAGCUUGAUCCAGCAAUGCCGCGUGAGUGAUGAAGGCCUUAGGGUUGUAAAGCUCUUUUACCCGGGAUGAUAAUGACAGUACCGGGAGAAUAAGCUCCGGCUAACUCCGUGCCAGCAGCCGCGGUAAU
rnacentral:rRNA from 1 species